rnacentral:rRNA from 1 species
CACGGUCCAGACUCCUACGGGAGGCAGCAGUGAGGAAUCUUCCACAAUGGGGGCAACCCUGAUGGAGCAACGCCGCGUGCAGGAUGAAGGCCUUCGGGUUGUAAACUGCUUUUAUAAGUGAGGAAUAUGACGGUAACUUAUGAAUAAGGAUCGGCUAACUACGUGCCAGCAGCCGCGGUCAUACGUAGGAUCCGAGCGUUAUCCGGAGUGACUGGGCGUAAAGAGUUGCGUAGGCGGUUAGUAAAGCGAAUAGUGAAAUUUGGUGGCUCAACCAUCAACCCAUUGUUCGAACUCACUAACUCGAGAGUGGUAGAGGUAACUGGAAUUUCUUGUGUAGGAGUGAAAUCCGUAGAUAUAAGAAGGAACACCAAUGGCGUAGGCAGGUUACUGGACCAUUUCUGACGCUAAGGCACGAAAGCGUGGGGAGCGAACCGGAUUAGAUACCCGGGUAGUCCACGCCGUAAACGAUGGAUACUAGCUGUAGGGGGUAUCGACCCCCUCUGUAGCGAAGCUAACGCGUUAAGUAUCCCGCCUGUGGAGUACGGCCGCAAGGCUAAAACAUAAAGGAAUUGACGGGGACCCGCACAAGCGGUGGAUCGUGUUCUUUAAUUCGAUGAUAAACGGAGAACCUUACCAGGGCUUGACAUCUAGGGAAUUUCUACGAAAGUAGUUAGUGCCUUUUGGAACCCUAUGACAGGUGAUGCAUGGCCGUCGUCAGCUCGUGUCGUGAGAUGUUUGGUUAAGUCCAUCAACGAGCGCAACCCUUAUGAAUAGUUGGAUUUUUCUAUUCAGACUGCCCCGGUAACGGGGAGGAAGGAGGGGAUGAUGUCAGGUCAGUAUUUCCCUUACGUCCUGGGCUAGAAACACGAUACAAUGGCUAGUACAAUGCGCAGCAAAGCCGCGAGGUGGAGCAAAUCGCAUCAAAGCUAGUCCCAGUUCGGAUUGGAGGCUGAAACUCGCCUCCAUGAAGUCGGAAUCGCUAGUAAUCGCAAAUCAGCAAGUUGCGGUGAAUACGUUCCCGGGUCUUGUACACACCGCCCGUCAAACCAUGAAAGUGACCAACACCCGAAGUCCGAUUCGUCGGCCUAA